CAAGAACCCUCUAAUUUUUUUCAAUUCAGUGUCAACGUCAAUACUGUCUGAACUGUCAGAGGAAUAAUUUUUAUUGUAAUUGUAAAUUUUUUACAUUACAUUCCUGCUCCUGCAUUUUGAAUUCAGGCCCAAACUCUAGCAAAAAACGCAUAAUUAUCUUAUAAAGAAAGAUGUGGGAAAUUGCUGCAGUUAUGGGUAUUUGCCUUUACAUGUUCUUUGUUGCUUAGUCCUUUUUUAUGAUGUCAGAUAUGCAGAAAUAUUUUAAGGUGCUUAUAGGAAACUUAAAUGUGCCGAAGAAUGCUUACCAGGUUCUGCAGGAAAAAGGCCUAUCCUAUAAAGAAUUCCACCCUCUGCAGAUGCUAGGCAAAGUUAUUUUUGAAGCAACAGUUGAUAUUAUCAGGUUGGAAACUAUUGACCAAGCAAAUGCUGAAAGGAAAAAAGGUUUUGAAAUCUUGUAUGCCAAGAAAAAACCCAAAAGGAAAAAUUCAUGCUGCAACUUUGGAUAUUACUUAUCCAGAACCUCUUCCUAUGGAUAGAGAAUUAUUAGGACUUUCUAAUGUUGUUCUGAGGCCUCAUCUUGGCAACGCAACAGAGAAAACCCGAGAAACGAUUGUGGAACUGAUAGCCAAAGAAUAUUCUUCUUGCACUUCAGGGUGACACCGGUAUACGACAAACUGGAGAGUUUUUAUUAUAUUUUCAGUUUGCGAAAGCAUUGAUUGAUUUCAUAUAAGUAUAUUAAAUGCAUAUUUGACAUCG